UUUGGCCUCGGAUCAGGUGGGGAUACCCGCUGAACUUAAGCAUAUCAAU
rnacentral:rRNA from 1 species